rnacentral:lncRNA from 1 species
GUUGUUUCAUCAAAGGUAACCUGGAAAUAGCUCAGAUGUCCUGGAUCUUCCAUUCUUCUUUGUGAAGUCAAGCUCCCACCAAUGAGCUGAAUCGUCACCUGUGUCAGGGAGGAAAGACGGAAACCAUCUUUUGCCAAGUGUGCUUGGUAGCUGUGCUGGGGUUCUGUUGUGGCUUGAAUGAGAAUGGCUUCAAUAAGUUCCUAUGUUUUAAUUCUUAGUCCUCAGUUGGUGGGAUCCUUUGGGAAAGAUCAGAACAUGUGGCCUUGUUGAAGCAGGCCUGUCACUGCGGGCAGCUUUGAGGUUUCAGAAGACGUUUGCCUGUUCCCACUGUGCUCUCCGCCUCCUGCCUACUGUUUGAGAUGUGAACUCUCAACCUCUGCUGCUGUGUCUUCACUCUGCCGCUGUGGACUCCAACUCUCUGAAAAUGGAUUCAAGCAGGCAGCCAAGCAUGGCAUUGUUCACAUGGUCCCACUGUGCUCUCUGCCUCCUGCUUGCUGUGUGAGAUGUGAGCCCUCACCUGUUUCUGCCAGCGUGCCUUUGUCCUGCCAUCAUGGAGUAUAGGUUUCUGAAACCAAAA